CUAACGGCAGCUACCAUGCAAGUCGCACGAGAAUCUUGGGCAACUGAGAGAGUAAAGUGGCGCACGGGUGAGUAACGCGUGGGUAACCUGCCCUCGGAUGGGGGAUAACUCUUCGAAAGGAGAGUUAAUACCGCAUAACAUCCUUUUCUCCUCGGGGGAGAGGAUCAAAGGUGGCCUCUGCAUGCAAGCUACUGUCUGAGGAUGGGCCCGCGUACCAUUAGCUAGUUGGUAGGGUAACGGCCUACCAAGGCUGCGAUGGUUAGCUGGUCUGAGAGGAUGACCAGCCACACUGGAACUGAGACACGGUCCAGACUCCUACGGGAGGCAGCAGUGGGGAAUCUUGCGCAAUGGGGGAAACCCUGACGCAGCAACGCCGCGUGGGUGAUGAAGGCCUUCGGGUCGUAAAGCCCUGUCAGGUGGAAAGAAUUGCAUCGGCGUGAACAAUACCGAUGCUUGACGGUACCACCGGAGGAAGCACCGGCUAACUCCGUGCCAGCAGCCGCGGUAAUACGGAGGGUGCAAGCGUUGUUCGGAAUUACUGGGCGUAAAGCGCGUGCAGGCGGUUGGGCAAGUCAGAUGUGAAAGCCUUCCGCUUAACGGAAGAAGUGCAUUUGAAACUACCCAGCUAGAGUUCGGAAGAGGAGAGUGGAAUUCCUGGUGUAGAGGUGAAAUUCGUAGAUAUCAGGAGGAACACCAGUGGCGAAGGCGGCUCUCUGGUCCGAUACUGACGCUGAGAUGCGAAAGCGUGGGGAGCAAACAGGAUUAGAUACCCUGGUAGUCCACGCCGUAAACGAUGGGCACUAGGUGUAGGAGGUAUUGACCCCUUCUGUGCCGAAGCUAACGCAUUAAGUGCCCCGCCUGGGGAGUACGGCCGCAAGGUUAAAACUCAAAGGAAUUGACGG
rnacentral:rRNA from 1 species